rnacentral:rRNA from 1 species
GGCCAGACUCCUACGGGAGGCAGCAGUAGGGAAUCUUUCACAAUGGGCGAAAGCCUGAUGGAGCAACGCCGCGUGCAGGAUGAAGGCCUUCGGGUUGUAAACUGCUUUUAUAAGCGAGAAAUAUGAUGGUAACUUAUGAAUAAGGAUCGGCUAACUACGUGCCAGCAGCCGCGGUCAUACGUAUGGUGCAAGCGUUAUCCGGAUUUACUGGGUGUAAAGGGAGCGCAGGCGGCACGGCAAGCCUGAUGUGAAAGCCCGCGGCCCAACCGCGGGACUGCAUUGGGAACUACCGGGCUGGAGUGCCGGAGAGGUAGGCGGAAUUCCUAGUGUAGCGGUGAAAUGCGUAGAUAUUAGGAGGAACACCAGUGGCGAAGGCGGCCUGCUGGACAUUAACUGACGCUGAGGCGCGAAAGCGUGGGGAGCAAACAGGAUUAGAUACCCUAGUACA